UGAGUACGAGAUGCUACGGCAUCGAAGCAGUCUAUGUCAUACUUCCAAGAAAAGCUUGCACUGUCAUAAACAAAGAAUGCCUGUACCAUAACCGACACAGGUGGGUAGGUAGAGUAUACUAAGGGGCGCGAGAUAACUCUCUCUAAGGAACUCGGCAAAAUGACUCCGUAACUUCGGGAGAAGGAGUGCCUUAUUUCUAAGGUUGCAAUAACAAGAUCCAAGCAACUGUUUACCAAAAACACAGGUCUCCGCUAAGUCGUAAGACGAUGUAUGGGGGCUGACGCCUGCCCAGUGCCAGAAGGUUAAAGAAGUUGGUUAGCAUUAGCGAAGCUGAUAACUGAAGCCCUGGUGAACGGCGGCCGUAACUAUAACGGUCCUAAGGUAGCGAAAUUCCUUGUCGGGUAAGUUCCGACCCGCACGAAAGGCGUAAUGAUUUGGAUACUGUCUCGGAGAGGGGCUCGGUGAAAUAGACUUGUCUGUGAAGAUGCGGACUACCUGCACCUGGACAGAAAGACCCUAUGAAGCUUUACUGUAACUUGAGAUUGAAAUUGGACUUUAUUUGCGCAGUAUAGGUGGGAGGCGUUGAGAAUAAUCUUGCGGGAUUGUUGGAGCCAUCAGUGAGAUACCACUCUUGUAAUGUUAGAUUUCUAACUUUGUAUCAUUAUCUGGUCAAAGAACAGUUUCAGGCGGGCAGUUUGACUGGGGCGGUCGCCUCCCAAAGGGUAACGGAGGCGCACAAAGGUUUCCUCUGAACGGGUAGAAAUCGUAUCUAGAGUGUAAAGGCAUAAGGAAGCUUGACUGUGAGACCUACAAGUCGAGCAGGGACGAAAGUCGGUCUUAGUGAUCUGACGGUGCUGAGUGGAAAGGCCGUCACUCAACGGAUAAAAGUUACUCUAAGGAUAACAGGCUGAUCUCCCCCAAGAGUUCACAUCGACGGGGAGGUUUGGCACCUCGAUGUCGGCUCAUCGCAUCCUGGGGCGGUAGUCCGUCCCAAGGGUUGGGCUGUUCGCCCAUGAAAGCGGUACGCGAGCUGGGUUCAGAACGUCGUGAGACAGUUCGGUCCAUAUCCGGUGUAGGCGUUAGAAUAUUGAGAGGAGCCUUCUCUAGUACGAGAGGACCGAGAAGGACAUACCUCUGGUGUACCAGUUAUCGUGCCAACGGUAAACGCUGGGUAGCUAUGUAUGGAGUGGAUAACCGCUGAAAGCAUCUAAGUGGGAAGCCCACCUCAAGAUAAGUAUUCUCAU
rnacentral:rRNA from 1 species